UACGUAGGGACCAAGCGUUGUCCGGAAUUAUUGGGCGUAAAGAGCUCGUAGGCGGUUCGGUAAGUCGGGUGUGAAAAUCCAGGGCUCAACCCUGGGACGCCACCCGAUACUGCUGUGACUAGAGUCCGGUAGAGGAGUGUGGAAUUCCUGGUGUAGCGGUGAAAUGCGCAGAUAUCAGGAGGAACACCAGCGGCGAAGGCGGCACUCUGGGCCGGUACUGACGCUGAGGAGCGAAAGCAUGGGGAGCAAA
rnacentral:rRNA from 1 species